rnacentral:misc_RNA from 1 species
AAAUGCGAUAAGUAAUGUGAAUUGCAGAAUUCAGUGAAUCAUCGAAUCUUUGAACGCACCUUUCGCUCCUUGGUAUUCCUUGGAGCAUGCCUGUUUGAGUAUCAUUAAAUCUUCAAAGUAAAUCUUUUGUUAACUCAAUUGGUUUCUACUUUGGUAUUGGAGGUCUUUGCAGCUUCACACCUGCUCCUCUUUGUUCAUUAGCUGGAUCUCAGUGUUAUGCUUGGUUCCACUCGGCGUGAUAAGUUAUCUAUCGCUGAGGACACUGUAAAAGGUGGCCAAGGUAAAUGCAGAUGAACCGCUUCUAAUAGUCCAUUGACUUGGACAAUACUUUUAUGAUCUGAUCUCAAAUCAGGUAGGACUACCCGCUGAACUUAAGC